rnacentral:rRNA from 1 species
UGGGGAAUCUUGCGCAAUGGGCGAAAGCCUGACGCAGCGACGCCGCGUGCGGGAAGAAGGCCUUCGGGUUGUAAACCGCUUUCAGGAGGGACGAAGCCACUCGGGUUAAUAGCCCAGAGGGUGACGGUACCUCCAGAAGAAGCCCCGGCUAACUACGUGCCAGCAGCCGCGGUAAUACGUAGGGGGCUAGCGUUGUCCGGAUUUAUUGGGCGUAAAGAGCGUGUAGGCGGCUUGAUAGGUCUGCUGUGAAAACUCGGGGCUCAACCCCGAGAUGUCGGUGGAAACCAUCUGGCUAGAGUCCGGAAGAGGAGAGUGGAAUUCCCGGUGUAGCGGUGAAAUGCGCAGAUAUCGGGAAGAAUAUCCGUGGCGAAGGCGGCUCUCUGGGACGGUACUGACGCUGAGACGCGAAAGCGUGGGGAGCGAACAG